UACGUAGGGGGCAAGCGUUGUCCGGAUUUAUUGGGCGUAAAGAGCGUGUAGGCGGCUUUGCAAGUCCGUUGUGAAAACUCGAGGCUCAACCUCGAGACGCCGGUGGAAACUGCAAAGCUAGAGUCCGGAAGAGGAGAGUGGAAUUCCUGGUGUAGCGGUGAAAUGCGCAGAUAUCAGGAAGAACACCAACGGCGAAGGCAGCUCGCUGGGACGGUACUGACGCUGAGACGCGAAAGCGUGGGGAGCGAACAGG
rnacentral:rRNA from 1 species